CCUACGGGUGGCUGCAGUGAGGAAUAUUGGUCAAUGGACGCAAGUCUGAACCAGCCAUGCAGCGUGCAGGAAGACGGCUCUAUGAGUUGUAAACUUCUUUUGUACGAGGGUAAACUUAAAUACGCAUAUCGGUCUGAAAGUAUCGUACGAAUAAGGAUCGGCUAACUCCGUGCCAGCAGCCGCGGUAAUACGGAGGAUUCAAGCGUUAUCCGGAUUUAUUGGGUUUAAAGGGUGCGUAGGCGGUCGGAUAAGUUAGAUGUGAAAUCUCGAGGCUCAACUUCGGAAUUGCAUCUGAUACUGUUUGGCUAGAGAGUAGUUGAGGUAGGCGGAAUGUAUGGUGUAGCGGUGAAAUGCUUAGAGAUCAUACAGAACACCGAUUGCGAAGGCAGCUUACCAAGCUACUUCUGACGUUGAGGCACGAAAGCGUGGGGAGCAAACAGGAUUAGAUACCCUAGUAGUC
rnacentral:rRNA from 1 species